ensembl:snoRNA
AAGAUUCUGUGCUAAUGACCUGUGGGAUCUGAGUCAAGGAUGAUGAAUAAUACUUCUUUGCAUAUCUGAGGUCCAC